rnacentral:lncRNA from 1 species
UGAACAUUUAGUAUAUACUAAGUGGUAAAUACAAAUAAACUUUUUAUAUAACAGAAGGGGAUUGUAAGGGGUCUCUUCAUACAAGUAAAAUAAGUCCAUAAUUACGGAGUCCCUAUUAGUAGAAAUACAAAUUUCAGCAAACAAUAAAGGGUCAAUUCAGACAUCUCUAAAAAAGCAAUUCCACACCCCCUCAUAAUACAACAAAUGGCAAUAGUUCGGUAUCAUUCCAAACGAAAAAAUAC